UACGGAGGAUGCGAGCGUUAUCCGGAUUUAUUGGGUUUAAAGGGUGCGCAGGCGGGGGAUUAAGUCGGCGGUGAAAUUUUGCAGCUCAACUGUAAAAGUGCCUUCGAAACUGGUUUCCUUGAGUGUAGAUGAAGUAGGCGGAAUUUGUGGUGUAGCGGUGAAAUGCUUAGAUAUCACGAGGAACUCCGAUUGCGCAGGCAGCUUACUAAACCAUAACUGACGCUCAGGCACGAAGGCGUGGGGAUCAAACAGGAUUAGAUACCCUGGUAGU
rnacentral:rRNA from 1 species